GAUGAAGAACGUAGCGAAAUGCGAUAAGUAAUGUGAAUUGCAGAAUUCAGUGAAUCAUCGAAUCUUUGAACGCACAUUGCGCCCCCUGGUAUUCCGGGGGGCAUGCCUGUUCGAGCGUCAUUUCACCACUCAGGCCUCGCUUGGUAUUGGGCAACGCGGUCCGCCGCGUGCCUCAAAUCGACCGGCUGGGUCUUCUGUCCCCUAAGCGUUGUGGAAACUAUUCGCUAAAGGGUGUUCGGGAGGCUACGCCGUAAAACAACCCCAUUUCUAAGGUUGACCUCGGAUCAGGUAGGGAUACCCGCUGAACUUAAGCAUAUCAAUAAGCGGAGGA
rnacentral:misc_RNA from 1 species